GACGAACGCUGGCGGCGUGCUUAACACAUGCAAGUCGAACGAGGUCCACCGCGUAGCAAUACAAGGGAAGACCUAGUGGCGAACGGGUGCGUAACACGUGAGGAACUUGUCCCGGUCUCUGGGAUAACAGUUGGAAACGACUGCUAAUACCGGAUGACGUCGGAAUCUCGCAUGGGAUACUGACGAAAGGGUUACUGGAUCGGGAGAGCCUCGCGGCCUAUCAGCUUGUUGGUGAGGUAACGGCUCACCAAGGCAUCGACGGGUAGCUGGUCUGAGAGGAUGAUCAGCCACACUGGGACUGAGACACGGCCCAGACUCCUACGGGAGGCAGCAGUGGGGAAUCUUGCGCAAUGGGCGAAAGCCUGACGCAGCAACGCCGCGUGCGGGAAGAAGGCCCUCGGGUUGUAAACCGCUUUCAGCAGGACGAAAAUGACGGUACUUGCAGAAGAAGGUGCGGCCAACUACGUG
rnacentral:rRNA from 1 species